CCUACGGGUGGCAGCAGUGAGGAAUAUUGGUCAAUGGGCGGGAGCCUGAACCAGCCAAGCCGCGUGAGGGAAGAAGGUACAGCGUAUCGUAAACCUCUUUUGUCAGGGAACAAAGGCUGGGACUAGUCCCCGGAUGAGGGUACCUGAAGAAAAAGCAUCGGCUAACUCCGUGCCAGCAGCCGCGGUAAUACGGAGGAUGCGAGCGUAAUCCGGAUUUAUUGGGUUUAAAGGGUGCGCAGGCGGCCUGUUAAGUCAGCGGGAAAAGCCCGGGGCUCAACCCCGGCGAGCCGUUGAAACUGGCGGGCUGGAGUGGGAGAGAAGUACGCGGAAUGCGCGGUGUAGCGGUGAAAUGCUUAGAUAUCGCGCAGAACCCCGAUUGCGAAGGCAGCGUACCGGCUCCACACUGACGCUGAGGCACGAAAGCGUGGGUAUCGAACAGGAUUAGAUACCCCAGUAGUC
rnacentral:rRNA from 1 species